UGUGUUCUGCAACCACCGGAAACUUUGGGAAGAUUGCCCAUUAUUUAUUUUUUUGUAAGGACUCAUAAAACCGAGGCAGUGGAAGAACGUAUUUCCAAAUAGAGUCGUGAAACCCUGUCUGCAGAUGAAGAGGUCCAAAUGAAUGUUCCAAGAGAAUACGGGCAAGUCAAGACAUAGGUGUCUUGAUAGACGUCAGCUGGUGAACCUACAGGACAUAAGCAAAUGAGAAGCACACCUGAUGUUAGAACUUCAGCAUCACCUACACCAUCAGGAUCUAUGUGAAAGUGUGAGCUGGAGGGAGGUUAAAAAGAAGUGGGCUCCUCUCCUCUCCCUCCCACAAAGUUCCAGAUGUUGAGGCGGGAGAAUGUAUUUUAUGUAUAGCUAUUAAUUUAUUCAUUUUCUACUGUUUUUGGUGAAUUCCUGUUUUUAACCAAAAGUUGAUUUCUGUUUUCUCAAUGAAAAGUGUUUCUUGUUUGUAAUAAAAAAAAGUGUUUACCGGUA